rnacentral:misc_RNA from 1 species
UGUUCAUUGCAUAGUUAGGGUAGUUUGCUCCUCUUGCUUCAAGAGGUAAUCCUUCGUCUCCUCUAAUUGAGAAUACGUUUGCUGCACCACACUGGUCUUGCAAGUCGUAACCGUAGAAACCAAGUCUGGAGUGCUGUUCUUUGUGUAAGUACAUGGAUAAGUACCAUGCGCUUAAACCAGUUUGAGCGUUUCCAGUAGCGAAAGCUGUUGAACAACCUGCUGCUGCUGCAACAAUUGAUGCUCUUUGUGAUCCACCGAAUAUGGUUUCUAAGAGUGCUGGGUAGUCUUCGAACUGUUCAAGUGCGUAGAAUGUUACUUCUGAACCUACAUCAAGGACUGUUUCCAUGGUGUUAGGUGCUUCUGUCAUUCCGUAUUUGUCUUCUACGUAUUCUUGACCGAA